ACGCGUGGGAACAUACACAGCACAGGGGGAUAACCAUUGGAAACGAUGGCUAAUACCGCAUACGCCCUAUUGGGGAAAGAUUUAUCGGUGUUGGAUUGGCCCGCGUUACAUUAGCUAGUUGGUGGGGUAAUGGCUCACCAAGGCGACGAUUUAUAGCUGGUUUGAGAGGAUGAUCAGCAACACUGGAACUGACACACGGUCCAGACUCCUACGGGAGGCAGCAGUCGGGAAUAUUGUGCAAUGGGGGCAACCCUGACACAGCCAUGCCGCGUGAGUGAAGAAGGCCUUAGGGUUGUAAAGCUCUUUCAGAUGUGAGGAUGAUGACGAUAGCAUCAGAAGAAGCUCCGGCUAACUUCGUGCCAGCAGCCGCGGUAAUACGAAGGGAGCUAGCGUUGUUCGGAAUUACUGCGCGUA
rnacentral:rRNA from 1 species